UCUCCUCGAAACACGGCAUGUUCCUUGUAGC
rnacentral:piRNA from 1 species